GAUUGACGGACCUGCCGGCUCCUGCACGGCCAUCAGAGAGGAAGCAUCAGGAAGCAACGCAGACUACAGGAAGCCAGGAUCUCUCCUCUCCUGCAGCCCCUGGGCAUCCUCAGCAUCCGAUGUCAUCCUGCCAGAGACAAAUCUUUCUAUAAAUAGGGAUCAAGCCUCUGUGGACAUUGAUGGAUGGACCAUGAACUCCUGACCCCAUGGAUUGUGAGAAGAGGGUCUCUCACAGCACAGUGUGGAGUGUGUCAAAGUCCCCUAUCCUGGGUUACUUCCACCACAACGGAGACGGCUAAACACACCCUGUCCACACAUACUCAUACACACCCUGAGGGUGAACCCAAUAGGUCCCUCUGCGCGUGAGUCGUGGCAUCUCCUCUUUCCAUUCCCCCACCUCGGCGUGUUUCUUCAUCCUGCCUUUGGGGCUGAAAACACGGACACGGCUCCCUUUCUCUUCUUUAUCCAGUCCAGAUAACCUUAUGUGUCGGACAGAGCGAAGGCAAACCAACGAAUAAUAAGCAUGUUCACUGUCACUGAGAAGACGAAGGGCAGCUCGCCCACUGCCAGCAUCAUCUCAAGGUUUUUCUCAAAGCCUAAGUGAUGAUGAGGUGUUGGGGCAGUCUGUUGGGGCUGGAAACAAGGUAAACCCAGGGUAACAGAGAAUUUGAAUGUAUCAUAGCUUCAAGGGUUGAAUUCUAGUUGAGCGCUAAAAUGCUGCAAGGCAAGAAAGGGCCAGUGGAUGUAGAAAAUGCAGAACACAGGAGAAGACAAUAUGUUUUGUGCCUACUUUAAUCAAUUUGUUGUGUACAAUGCAACGUAUUCGAUGUAGGUAUGGAGCAUAAGAUGUCAUUUGUAGUUGUCAUUGCCAUGAACUGCUUUAUUUACAUGAUGAUGGUUGUUUUUCAAUGAUUUUUUAAAAAUGUGCCCUACUCUUUACUAAUUACAUAUGUGCGCAGCAUUGAAGUCCAUUGAAAAAUUUCCGGCACCAUGUAUUACACUUUAAUGUAUCCUAUCCUAUAAACGUACCAUAUCAACAUAUCAUGUUGUAUAUUGUUAUGCUGUAUUGUGCCGUAUCGUAACAUGUGGUAUAAUAUCGUAUCAUGUCAUAUCAUGAUGUAUUGUAUCAUAUCGUAUCGUGUCCUGUAGUGUCAUAUGGUUUCGUGCCGUGACGUUUUGUAACGUAUCAACGUAUCAUAUCGUAUCUUGUUUUAUUGUAUUGUAUCGUAUCAUAUCGUAUCUUGCUGUGUCGUGCUGUAUCAUAUCUUAAUGUAUUAUAUCCCAUUGUAUCGUGACGUAACGUAUCGUAUCCUGUCGUGGACAGUUUUAGGACGUAACCUAUCGUUUUAAGUCACAUGGUAUCGUAUCAUAUUGUUUCAUGUCAUACCGUAUUGUGUCUUGUUGGGUCGUCGUAUCAUAGAGUAACAUAAUAUAUGGUAUGGUGUCAAAAUAAAUUGUGCUGUAUUGUAUGAUAUCGUACUAUAUGUAUUAUAUCAUAUCAUACUCUAUCAAAUCA